ensembl:lncRNA
CUACAAGACCUUAAGUAGCUACACUGAGUGACAAGUACAAGCUCUUUUAUGUCCCAGAGCUCAGGUGCCACUAAGGCAUCAAGCCUAUGCAUUGAAGUUUUCUUUCCACAGAAAACAAGACGCUGGAGAUGAGGGGAUGAUUUAGAAUUGGUACGUCUUGAUACAUCUUCACCAUGUCUAGGAUUCAGAAUGCAGCUGGAAUAUGUAUCCACACUGAGGACCUUGAAAACACUUGGCAUCUUAAAACUCAGAUGACAAAGCCUACUGCUUCCUCUGUAUUCUUUGAUGUUACAGCUGAAUUUUCAUUAAAGUACUGAGGCACUAUGAAGCUGCUGUUUACCUGCCAAAAGGGAGAAGAUUUAACUUGACAAACAGACAAGCAUGAAGAUGUGUCCCCUCCUUGGGUUUUCAGGCUACUGUGACAGUCCAAAAAAUGACCAGAAUUACCAGCCAAUUGGCAUGAUGCUGAUGCAAGUCCUCCAAAUGUGCAGCUGCUGCCCUGGCAUCCAUGGUGAUUUUAAUAGCAGUGGUGGCAUGUAUUAAUUAAAUCAGCAGGGAAACAGCAAGUUUAUGACAUGGCUUAAAGGAAAACUGAAUGUACAUCAUUAAUACAGAGGAGAAAAGACAUUUGGCACAUGUCAGCCUGGACAGACAAUGUCUGCAAAGUCCCGCUUGUUUUCACCUCUGUUACCCUGUAAGGAUGCUUUGCAGACUCUCAGCCCCGGCUCCUCUGCUGCCACAGGCUCACAGCGACUGACAGGAGCACAUGAAGCAGGAGGCUGAUUAAUAUUGACCGCAGGUAGCGCUCCCUGCCACGCCACCACCGCGGAGGCCUUGACAGUUCCAUGACCCUCAUCCUCGCACUGCUCCCCUCCCUCCGGCUGCCUCCCACUCUGCUACUUGAACAAAACAUCACAUCAGCAUUGUUUACUGCAGGAACUCAGCCAAGGAAGUCAUAACAAGACAAUAGACAUACAAUCUGAUAACCUUGUUAGCUCGGUGGAAUCAGAGCUCCUAACAAGUAGAAGAGUUCAGUAAAGCAGAAUAAAAGUAUUACAGUAUUUGUUGUCAAUGGCUUUUCAGCUCCGUCUUUGAAAACGUAGCAUUUCUUGUGCUUUUAUUUAAGAUUAAAGCUAAGCUCAAGGCCACUAAACAAAAUAGAAUGAACAAGGUCAGACAUGACUUAAAAAAAAAAAAAAAACAACAAAAUGAUAACCAGAACAGAGAGACAGACUCCUUCAUUGUGUCCAAACAGCAGCAAGUAAAACUAUAUAAAAAGGAUGAGUUUACCAUUCAAAAAUCACCGUGCAGAAACAAUCUGCAAGGCACUGUUUCUUAUUUUCUUAAGAGCAAGCUGUGACAGUGCCAGAAGUCUGAAAUGAAGGGCAACAUGCAUGAGCACCAUCACAUUAGCAGAUAAAGAGCAAAUUGGUGACCCCAGUCAUGUCAGAGCAGCAUCACUGCUUCUCCAGGCAAGGAGCCAGAACCUCCCAGAUGAUGCCCCCCUUCCCACAGCAGUGUCCUUGCUCUGACCGGUGCCCCAGAACAGGGAAGAAGCCAGAAGUCAGCACUUCUCACACGCUUGCUGCUCUGGGGCCACUUGUCCUGCUAGAGCAUCUGUGUGUGUGUGCAUACUAAUUUGUUACCAGCUGGCCACAAGCCUGGCAAAUGCUGGUUUUAUUCGAUAUAAUGUUCUUUUUUGUUUUGGUUUGGUUUGGUUUGGUUUGGUUUGGUUGGUUUUUUUUGGUGAUGAUCAGAAGCCAUCAUUAAUAGAACUCUUUGUAUUUUUCAUUUUCCAUAACUAUUAAUUUCCUCUCCAUUACCUAGCCAAAUGGUGGCACCUUUCAUUUUAAAGUAUCCUGAGUUAAAGUUCAAUGAAGACCUAAUAAAUACUUUAACAGAAAGUUGUGUGCAUUACUGAAUAAUGUCUGGAAUUCUAGAAAGGGAGAACAUAUUAUCUGUGGUAUUGAAUUUCUUUCCCUGGAGGAAUAAUAUAUC